AUUGAACGCUGGCGGCAGGCCUAACACAUGCAAGUCGAACGGUAACAGGAAGAAGCUUGCUUCUUUGCUGACGAGUGGCGGACGGGUGAGUAAUGUCUGGGAAACUGCCUGAUGGAGGGGGAUAACUACUGGAAACGGUAGCUAAUACCGCAUAACGUCGCAAGACCAAAGAGGGGGACCUUCGGGCCUCUUGCCAUCGGAUGUGCCCAGAUGGGAUUAGCUAGUAGGUGGGGUAACGGCUCACCUAGGCGAGGAGCCCUAGCUGGUCUGAGAGGAGGACCAGCCACCCGGGAACGUAGACACGGUCCAGACGCCUACGGGAGGCAGCAGUGGGGAAUAUUGCACAAUGGGCGCAAGCCUUAUGCAGCCAUGCCGCGCGUAAGAAGAAGGCCUUCGGGUUGUAAAGUACUUUCAGCGGUGAGGAAGGGAGUAAAGUUAAUACCUUUGCUGAUUGACGUUACCCGCAGAAGAAGCACCGGCUAACUCCGUG
rnacentral:rRNA from 1 species